CGUUUUCUCUUCUGAGAUGUAAACAAAGCGGUACAUUCCUUUCAGCUGGUGAUAAAACUUUCUCUCGCUCUCCCUCGCUCUCCCUCGCUCUCCCUCACUCUCCCACGUCACGGAAGCAGUAAAAUAAAGCACAGGAGGAGGAAGUGAGAGGAUAAUGAAUUUUGGAUGUUUGUGAUACGUCAGAAGGUUUCACUCAUUUCCUGUCGAGAUGUUGAGCAACGGCAACCCUCCAAUCCGGCAAGCAGUUGGCGGCAGCGAUGGCGGUGGCGGCAGCAGUGGUGGCGAGGCGGACGGCAGGGACAGAGGGGCAGUACAGGGUGCGGACAUCAAGGAGAAGAGGAACGCACGGACAAGCAAGGUGUUAUUCGGCAGUCUGAUCCUGGACCUGGUCGGCUUCAUGGCGGUGGUGCCUCUGUGUCCUGCUCUCCUUGACUGUUACUCCAAGCACAACACCAGCGGCUUGUAUUCCUCUCAGCUCUCCUGUGUGACUUAUUACCAACAUAUCAUCGGUUUCGCUGCGAGGUUUCAUUCUGUCUUGUUUGGCACUGAUUGGCGUGACAUUCAGCAUAGGCUUCACCGUCGGGCACACUGUGGGGGCUGCGUUCUCCCGCUGGGGAAGUACUGGGUGGUUCGCGGCCUCGGCUGUCUACGCACGCACUCUCACUGUGGCUAACAUAAUAUUCUUUGCUGUCUUCUUCCAGGAAUUGCUGCCUGAGGGCAGAAGGAGGAGGGACAUCGGUGCCAGUUUGACCGAGGCUUGGGAGGUGAUCAAUCCUAGGGCUCUGUUCUCCGUCAGCUGUGUCAAGGGCCUGGGCAGAGAAGCCUGGAGUUAACGCUGAUCUUCGCGACCCACCACAAGCAUAGUUACGACUCGUUGGCGCAGGACCGCAAGUUUUCCCUCCUGGGCCUGGUCAUGGCAAUUACACAGAGAGGGUUUAUGCGAAGUGUUAAGACUGGAACUGAAAAAGCAACUGCCAAUUAGGUGUUCUGGGUGGUUAAUGACGAUGACUCCUGCUUUCAUCCUCAUCGGGGCUAGCAAGACCAACCUGGGGCUGUACUCUGGACUGACGCUGUAUGCCAUAGGUUCCUCUUUGAUGGUGCCCUGCCUCACUGCCCUCGCCUCCUGUCACAGCACGGCCUCUCACAAGGGUACCCUGUUUGGCAUUCGGAGGUCACCAGGGGCUGUUCCAAGGGCGUUCGGACCUGUUGUGACCAAUAGGUUUGUUUGUGUUGUUCGAGAGUGUUUAGCUGUGUUUUGUGUGUUUUUUGGUGUGUUUUGAGGUGUUUUGGGGGUGUUUUUGGGUGUUUUAAGGGUGUUUUGGGUGUAUUUUUGGGUGUUUUGGUAUGUUUGGCUGUGUUUUGUGUGUGUUUUUGGUGUGUUUUGAGGUGUUUUGGAUGUGUUUUGGGGUGUUUUUGGGUGUUUUGGGUGUAUUUUUGGGUGAUUUGGGUGUUUUGGUAUGUUUAGCUGUGUUUUUGGUGUGUUUUGGGGUGUUUUGGGUGUAUUUUAGAGUGUUUUGCUGUGUUUUGUGUGUGUUUUUGGUGUGUUUGGGGGGUGUUUUGGGAUGUUUUUGCGUGUGUUUUGUGUGUUUGGAAGUCUGAGGCUGUGUUUUUGGGUGUUUUGGGUGUAUUUUACGGUGUUUUAGGAUGUUUAGCUGUGUUUUGUGUGUGUUUUUAGUGUGUUUUGGGGUGUUUUGGAUGUGUUUGUGGGUGUUUUGGGUGUUUUGGUAUGUUUGGCUGUGUUUUGUGUGUGUUUUGGAUGUGUUUGGGUGUGUUUGAGGGUGUUUUGGGGGUGUUUGGAUGUGUAUGGAUAUAUUUAAGGGUGUUUUUGGUGUGUUUGGGGGUGUAGAGGUGUGUUUGGGUGUGUGGGACAAUGUUUUGGGGGUGUUUGGGGGUGUAGAGGUGUGUGUUGGUGUGUUUGGGUGUAUUUUGUUGUGUUGUCUGUGUUGUUUGGGUCUCUCUCUCUCUCUCUCUCUCUCUCUCUCUGCAGGAUUCUGGGUAAUGUGGGCAGAAGUGUGCUAUAUUGUAGACAGCCUCUCCAUGCUGCUGCCGCUAGUGAUGCAGCAGGCCUACUGAGCUCCCUGCCACGCCCUCAGCCUGUUUAUAUUAGCCAGGUUAAGGAGGAAGGAUGUUGGGCUGAUGUUGGCCUAUUUAUGUGGUUUUUGGGCUAGUUAUGGGCGGUUUUUUGUCACGUGUUCCUUCUUUUGGGCUAGUUUUGGGCGGUUUUUUGUCGUGUUCCUUCUUUUGGGCUAUCAUUAUCUAUUUUUGUUCUUUUAUUUUUCAUGGUUCCAGUGACAGUUUAAGAGGCUGUGGUGGAAGUUAUUAGGGUUUUCAAGGGUGUUUUCAUGGUUCCAGUGACAGUUUAAGAGGCUGUGGUGGAAGUUAUUGCGGUUUUCAAGGGUGUUUUUAUGGUUCUAAAAUUUAACAUGCUGUAGUGGAAGUUAUUAGGGUUUUCAAGGGUGUUUUCAUGGUUCCAGUGAUAGUCUAAGAGGCUGUAGUGUGCAAACUCUCUUGUCAGGGUGUAAACUCACCUUACCUUAAUAAAAUGUUGAUUAAUA